rnacentral:rRNA from 1 species
GCUUGUCUCAAAGAUUAAGCCAUGCAUGUCUAAGUAUAAGCCUUUACACGGUGAGACUGCGAAUGGCUCAUUAAAUCAGAAACUGUUUAUUUGAUAGUGCCUACUACUUGGAUAACCGUAGUAAUUCUAGAGCUAAUACAUGCAAAAAGCCUGGACUUCUGGAACAGGCGUAUUUAUUAGAUAUACAAACCAACCGCUUCGGCGACCUUGGGUGACUCAUAAUAACUGUUCGAAUCGCACGGGCAACCGGCGAUAGUUCAUUCAAAUUUCUGCCCUAUCAGCUUUCGACGGUAGUGUAGUGGACUACCGUGGCGUUAACGGGUAACGGAGAAUUAGGGUUCGAUUCCGGAGAGGGAGCCUGAGAAACGGCUACCACAUCCAAGGAAGGCAGCAGG